GCGGUUAAAAAGCUCGUAGUUGGAUCUCGGCAGGUAGGGGGCGGUUCGUUUCUGACGGUACUGCCCCAUUUACCUGUGUUUUUGACGGAGGUCUGAGGGUGCUCUUCACCGAGUGUCCCCAAACGCCGUCAGGUUUACUUUGAAAAAAUUAGAGUGCUCAAAGCAGGCUUCAAGCUUGAAUAUUUGUGCAUGGAAUAAUGGAAUAGGAAGUCGUUUCUAUUUUGUUGGUUUUCGGAAAUUGACUUAAUGAUUAAUAGGGACAGCCGGGGGCAUUAGUAUUCAGACGCUAGAGGUGAAAUUCUUGGACCGUCUGAAGACUAACUACUGCGAAAGCAUUUGCCAAGAGUGUUUUCAUUAAUCAAGAACGAAAGUUAGAGGUUCGAAGGCGAUCGGAUACCGCCCUAGUUCUAACCAUAAACGAUGCCAGCUAGCGAUCCGUAGCUGUUUUUCAUGUAGGCUCUACGGGAAGCUUCCGGGAAACCAAAGCUUGUGGGUUCCGGGGGAAGUAUGGUUGCAAAGCUGAAACUUAAAGGAAUUGACGGAAGGGCACCACCAGGAGUGGAGCCUGCGGCUUAAUUUGACUCAACACGGGAAAUCUCACCAGGCCCGGACACUGGAAGGAUUGACAGAUGGAAGCUCUUACUCGAUUCAGU
rnacentral:rRNA from 1 species